UUAUCUUCUUCUCCUCUCUCUUUUUUCGAUUUUCUUCCCCUUCUAAACCUAAGCCGCUACCCUUCUAAACCUAAAUCGAAUCGAAAACCAGGUUCUGAGAAAUCAAAAUCCAUCUCUCCUGAACCCUAACCUGAUAAAUCUAAACCCCCAUCUCUCCAAAAUGCUAUCUUGUUUUCUUGUUUUUACUCUUCAAAACCCUAGUCGAGAUUUUCGAAUUCAAAACAAGUUUUCAGAAAUCAAAAAUUUAUCUCUCCUAAAUUCGAAUCUCAUCAAUCGAAACCCUUAGAAAUAAGUUAGAUCCGAGAUUUGUGGUUUUUCUCAUGGUUAGAAAGUUCGAAUGGAGGAUUUUAGAUCUGAGAAUUGUAAAAAUGGUGGUUCGUCGUUAUCAAAGAGUUGGAGUUGGCGAUCCUGAAUUACAAAGAAAUAAAAGAGUUGCUAGUUUUAAAGUUUAUGCUGCUUAAGGAAAGAUGAAAGGGUCUUUCAGAAGAAGCUUAAUAGCAAGGGAUUGCGUUGGCGGCUAACCAUGUGAAAUACAUCCUUAUAUACAGGAUUGCAUAGGAGGAUGGUUUGAAAGCUUCUCGUCUCGGCAUAGUCACAUAUAAUGCAAGUGUUCGCCACAGUGAUGAGUACAACACUGGGAUUGAGUACACCUGUAGAUGAGCGUCAUACUAGCUAUCAAUGCAUGGUUAGGCGGGCGGGGGAAAGCUAAUGGUGUCACAUAUGAGUCACUACUUCCGCAGUUUAUGUUCACCUCCUGGAGAUUGAAUGAUUAUUCCACUUCCUCCGCCAUACGAUCCACAUGGAGGAUACCCCGUGCCUCCACUAGCAAUGACUGCACCAUCCCCUCUACCACCACACGAUGGGUAUGCACCUGUCCAGGAUGAUGGCGAAGAAUACAAAUUUUGGGGAGAAGGCAUUGGAACCACAAGUGCUUGUAAUGUUUUUUUUUUAUUGAGUAGAAAUGUAAUGGAGAACUGAGACCACUUUAUCAGAAAAGAAAUGAGAUUGUCCAAACAAUUCCCAACUUCUGGUUAUUAGCGGGUAGUAAUUUAACCAUCCUCCCUUGCUCGAAGAGUUUGUUUUUCACAUAUGCAAUUCAUGUUUUCAAUCAUUGACAGUUACUAUCUUCCCAAACUGGAGAUACACAUGCAUCUUAAAUUCUUUCUUUGCUACUCCUUGGUGACUACUUACUAACAUUGCUUAAUACUUCCAAUUCUUGUUUUGCUUAACCUGUCCGAUUUCUAUUGUUUUCUAAUCAAACUAGUUUUGUAUGGUGUGCAGUUCUUUCUCCAUUCCUUUAAAGAGCAAUUACAGCAGCGCGUUCGUGUUCAUGCAGUGGCGUGUUGGCAGCUUGAGCAAUCUCUCCAAAGUCUAACAGCACAUGUUUAAGAUGGAGCAGGAAGAGUACAGCAAGGAAAAAAUUUACCGGAGCAACAUUGAGUUCAUUGACAAACAAAAUGUCUUGUAUUUGACUGAAAAGAAACCAAACCAAAUCAAUUGCUCUAUUUGCUGGACAUCAAUGAUUAUGUGCCAGUUCUUGUUCUAAAGUAGGCAGCAUAUAUAUGCAUCCUGGUUGGAUAGUUUUUCAGAUGGCAGGAGCGAACAAUUUAACUGUUGGAUGUCUUCCGAGCAUCAAUCUCGCGUCACGUUGUUCAACCUGUUUCCCGCUGUCUUGUCAUCCUACUGUAAGAUUCUGGUUGAGAAGGAUUCAAAGACGUAGUUGUUUAUGAAGCUUAGUAAUGUUAAUGAUGGAUCAUUACAUCCUGUCCGUUCUGCCAAGUGCAGAAAAAGAACUAGGUUUGCUACUAAUGAAUCCCUGCUCUAAUACCUUGUUCGGGAUGAAAUUUCAUUGCGCAAGUUCAUACUGUUGUAGAAGUUUUAAGGAUGACUGAUUGUCUUAUCCAAUAAGGGUAAUAAUAUAUUUGUAAUAAUGGAAAUUCGUAAAUACCAAUACAGAUUUUGUAAAUUAUUCUUUUUAAUCUGA